rnacentral:rRNA from 1 species
GAGUUUGAUCCUGGCUCAGGAUGAACGCUAGCGGCAGGCUUCAUACAUGCAAGUCGAGGGGCAGCAUAAAUUACUUGUAAUUUGAUGGCGACCGGCGAACGGGUGCGUAACGCGUAUGCAACUUACCUUUUACUAGAGAAUAGCCAAGAGAAAUUUUGAUUAAUGCUCUAUGUUCUUAUUUACUCGCAUGAGUAAAUAAGCAAAGCUCCGGCGGUAAAAGAUGGGCAUGCGUCCUAUUAGCUUGUAGGUGAGGUAACGGCUCACCUAAGCUCCGAUAGGUAGGGGUCCUGAGAGGGAGAUCCCCCACACUGGUACUGAGACACGGACCAGACUUCUACGGAAGGCAGCAGUAAGGAAUAUUGGACAAUGGAGGCAACUCUGAUCCAGCCAUGCCGCGUGAAGGAAGACGGCCUUAUGGGUUGUAAACUUCUUUUAUACAGGAAGAAACCUUUCCACGUGUGGAAAGCUGACGGUACUGUAAGAAUAAGGAUCGGCUAACUCUGUGCCAGCAGCCGCGGUAAGACAGAGGAUGCAAGUGUUAUUCGGAUUGAUUGGGCGUAAAGCGUCUGUAGGCGGUUUAGAAAGUCUUUUGUGAAAUACUUCAGCUCAACUGGAGCUCCGCAAAAGAAACUUCUAGACUUGAGGGAAGUAGAGGUACAGGGAAUUUCCGGUGGAGCGGUGAAAUGCGUAGAUAUCGGAAGGAACACCAAUAUGGCGAAGGCACUGUACUGGGCUUUACCUGACGCUAAGAGACGAAAGCUAAAGGAGUGAUUAGGAUUAGAUACCCUAGUAAUUUUAGCCGUAAACGAUGGAAACUCACUGCCGAGCCGGUAUUCGGAGCGGUGGUCAAGCUAACGCGUGAAGUUUCCCGCCUGGGGAUUACGCAUGCAAAUGUGAAACUCAAAGGAAUUGACGGGGACCCGCACAAGCGGUGGAGUAUGUGGUUUAAUUCGAUGCAACGCGAAAAACCUUACCAAGGUUUGAAAUCAUUCUAAAACUCUUUGAAAGAAGAGCCUCCUUCGGGAUAGAAUGACAGGUGGUGCAUGGCUGUCGUCAGCUCGUGUUGUGAAAUGUCAAGUUAAGUCUUGUAACGAGCGCAACCCAUGUCUUUUGUUGCUGUUUACAGUGCUUAAAAGAGACUGCCGCUCUACAGCGGAGGAAGGUGUGGAUGAUGUCAAGUCAGCAUGCCCCUUAUAUCUUGGGCUACACACGUACUACAAUGGUAGGGACAAUGAGUCGCAAACCUGCGAAGGCUAGCCAAUCUCAAAAACCCUAUCUCAGUUCGGAUUGUACUCUGCAACUCGAGUGCAUGAAGGUGGAAUCGCUAGUAAUCGCUGGUCAGCAUACAGCGGUGAAUACGUUCCCGGGUCUUGCACUCACUGCCCGUC